rnacentral:rRNA from 1 species
ACACAUGCAAGUCGAACGGCAGCACGGGAGCAAUCCUGGUGGCGAGUGGCGAACGGGUGAGUAAUACAUCGGAACGUGCCCAAUCGUGGGGGAUAACGCAGCGAAAGCUGUGCUAAUACCGCAUGAGAUCUACGGAUGAAAGCAGGGGACCGCAAGGCCUUGCGCGAAUGGAGCGGCCGAUGGCAGAUUAGGUAUUUGGUGAGGUAAAGGCUCACCAAGCCUGCGAUCUGUAGCUGGUCUGAGAGGACGACCAGCCACACUGGGACUGAGACACGGCCCAGACUCCUACGGGAGGCAGCAGUGGGGAAUUUUGGACAAUGGGCGCAAGCCUGAUCCAGCCAUGCCGCGUGCAGGAUGAAGGCCUUCGGGUUGUAAACUGCUUUUGUACGGAACGAAAAGGCUUUCUCUAAUAAAGAGGGCUCAUGACGGUACCGUAAGAAUAAGCACCGGCUAACUACGUGCCAGCAGCCGCGGUAAUACGUAGGGUGCAAGCGUUAACCGGAAUUACUGGGCGUAAAUCGUGCGCAGGCGGUGAUGUGAGACAGUUGUGAAAUCCCCGGGCUCAACCUGGGAACUGCAUCUGUGACUGCAUCGCUGGAGUGCGGCAGAGGGGGAUGGAAUUCCGCGUGUAGCAGUGAAAUGCGUAGAUAUGCGGAGGAACACCGAUGGCGAAGGCAAUCCCCUGGGCCUGCACUGACGCUCAUGCACGAAAGCGUGGGGAGCAAACAGGAUUAGAUACCCUGGUAGUCCACGCCCUAAACGAUGUCAACUGGUUGUUGGGUCUUCACUGACUCAGUAACGAAGCUAACGCGUGAAGUUGACCGCCUGGGGAGUACGGCC